AUAGGGAAGUUGGAUACAUGGAAUAAAGAAAACAUUUCUGCAUCUAAUACAUAGAAUAUACAGAAUAUGGUCAAUGUAGAAAUCUGAAUAAAGUGUUGAGACACAGACGGCUAUGUUAGUUGUAAAACAAAAUUGUGUCAUGGAGUGUGAGACGUGUUACAAGUCCAACAAAAGAAACCAGUGAGAAACGUGGCCAAAUUCAAUUUAAGGGGAAGGUUAAAAAAGGUGCAAAAUAUUGGCGUAAACACCUGGCUGCUAAUGAGAGAGCAAGUGCUCCAAGCUGAUGGGUGAACACAGACCUAACCAGAGCUCAGGUUUUACAGAUCCCUUCAAACAAGAGAGAGGACCAAGGGUGGACACAGUCGCUAACACCUACAAGCAAGAAGACCUAGAGUGGGCACAGUCUGUCACACCUACAAGCAAGAAGACCAAGAGUGGGCACAGUACCUCAUAACUACAAGAGAGAGAGGACCAAGGGUGGGCACAGUCCUUCACACCUAAAAACAAGAAGACCAAGAGUGGGCACAGUCUGUCACACCUACAAGCAAGAAGACCAAGAGUGGGCACAGUACCUCAUACCUACAAGAGAGAGAGGACCAAUGGUGGGCACAGUCCCUCACACCUACAAGCAAGAAGACCAAGAGUGGGCACAGUCUGUCACGCCUACAAGAGAGAGAGGACCAAGGGUGGUGUAGUGAAUAUAGGCUGAGGAUAUCAUUUUUAGGAAAAUAUGGUGGAUAAUCUCUGGCUCCUAGCUGUCUGGGACCCUGUUUGAAAUGUUUGGACCUCUGAGUAUUUCCCUUUUGUCUGUACCCGCUGCUUGUCCCCAUAUGCUUUGUCACUUUGUAUCCUGUUGUCAGUUAUUUUACAUAUCCUUUGACGCCUAGCUAUGCGAAGCCUCAAGACAGCUUGUUUGCGGAUUGAGUUAAUUGCGCAUCCUGCCAAGUUGGUGCCAAUUCGAACAAAAGGAGUACCUUUUACACAUAGUGAAAUAUGUCCCAGUUGUAGAAAUAUGUUUUUCAGGGCUCCCCUUAGUAGCCAUAGGUAUAUAUCCCCCAGAAUCAUGAUCCCCGAAUAUUAGGCUUUAUUUAGAACCCAAACAUGACCCCAUCGUACCCAUAGAUUAAGCUGUAUGUAUCCUAUACCUAUGUAUAAAUCCUUCAUGUAUCCUAUCAAAAUGUGCGUUAUAAUGUCACCAUAUCAAUAAGUGUACUGCCAUCUAUGUCACAUCUGUUGUGUAUGAUGGCAGUUAUGAUUUAUGGACUAUCUGUGUUUGAGAGGAGGUUAGGACAUUUGGGAGGUGGGAUGAUGUGGGCUGAUCUAAGAAGACACUGGAGACCUCCCUUCUAACCCAACCCUCUGCUGCACCCAUAAAAGUGGUGGUCCAACACAAGCUAGUUGUUACAAGUUUGGGGUCCAUUCUGAAUGGACUUGUGCCGCUAUUUUUCUUCCUUGGCCCCAAGGACGGAUUAGGACUUUACUCAACGACGUUAAGUAUGGAACUCUUCUGAUUUUUAUUCCCCUGUUAUUUUAUAACUGUUUCGCACAUUUUGUAUGUCUGUUUCUUUAAUUCUUUUAUUAACUAAUACUGUACCCUUUAUGUACAUUAAAGCCAUAACUUUAAUGCGUAGCCUUGUA